GCUCCAGAGAACGCUGAAAAGUUGCCAGGACCCGAGACAAGCUGCCCAGGAUGGGCCCUUCUAGGGUCUGGUCGCCAGCAACCUGAAUCUCAAACCUGGAGAGUGCCUUCGAGUGCGAGGCGAGGUGGCCCCUGACGCUAAGAGCUUCGUGCUGAACCUGGGCAAAGACAGCAACAACCUGUGCCUGCACUUCAACCCUCGCUUCAACGCCCACGGCGACGCCAACACCAUCGUGUGCAACAGCAAGGACGGCGGGGCCUGGGGGACCGAGCAGCGGGAGGCUGUCUUUCCCUUCCAGCCUGGAAGUGUUGCAGAGGUGUGCAUCACCUUCGACCAGGCCAACCUGACCGUCAAGCUGCCAGAUGGAUACGAAUUCAAGUUCCCCAACCGCCUCAACCUGGAGGCCAUCAACUACAUGGCAGCUGACGGUGACUUCAAGAUCAAGUGUGUGGCCUUUGACUGAAAUCAGCCAGCCCAUGGCCCCCAAUAAAGGCAGCUGCCUCUGCUCCCUCUGAA
rnacentral:sRNA from 1 species